AGCUUGUUGACAUUCUAUUUUAAUAAUUAUAAUUGUGUUGUCGCUACAUGCCACGUAAAUGUGAGAAACAGAAAGAAAUGUGUAGCAUUUCCUGUCUUUCCCAGAAAUCAAAAGCUGUUACACAGAUGGCUAUUGACGGUUCUCACACAAGCCGAGUGAAACCAUGGCAUCAUGUUUGUUCAGUGCAUUUCUCGCCAGUCUUUCCAGUCAUCUGUCAUAUGACAUCAAAUAACUUUGACCAUAAUAAAUCCUGUAAUAAAUCAUGCCUAAUUUCUAUUCAUUGAGAUCAGUAAUUGCAAGCACAACAGUUCACCGAGUUCAUGUAUUUAACACUAUUAUUAUUAUUAUUAUUAUUAUUAUUAUUAUUAUUAUUAUUAUUAUUAUUAUUAUUAUUAUUAUUUAUCUAUUUUCAUACCUAAAGCUGGUUACGAUAUUACAAUGAAAUCCGACAUCGAAUUAAUGAUAUUAAGUUAAAUAAGUAAAUAAAUAAAAACUUGUCAAAAUGAGGCAUGACCAAGGUCGGCUUUGACAUCGUUGUUUACUGUAUAUUCAUUUACGUUCAGCUAGCAUGGGACGACACUUGUUAUGAAUUGAAAUAGUUAUAUCUCGCCACGGGUGUCACUUUUUUUUUUUUUCCGAAUUAAUGAAUAUAUAUCAAAACAACUACAACAGAAUAACGAUCGUCUGAUGAUGUCCUCUAAAAAAAAAAAAAAAAAAAAAAAAAAAAAAAACGAAACAUUUUGAUAGUUUCUGUUCAUGUGGAAUUUCGUUAUCAGUUAUUAUCAGUAAGGAUGACUGGACUUGUCUAUCAACAUUUUUUUUUUUUUUUAGUAACUACAAGUACAGGUACAUAUAUUUUGUCUUUAAUAUUUAAGAUCAUUAAUAAAUAUUACCUAUGAAAAUUAAUUAGUAUGAUAAGCGUAAACAUUAUGUGUAAUUUUGAUACAGGAAUGAACAAAGAAUAAAAUUAUAUAAUAGGGGCGAGACUGCUAGUAUUCAUUGAUAACUCAUUAUGAUCUCAUAUAUUUAAUAUCGGGAAAAAUGUAAAUGAAGUUGAAGAUAGUAAAAACCUCUACGUCUUCUUGCAGGAUUGGUAAUAUUAAUAGUUUACUGGUACACAUGCAGUUAAUAUAUCCGAUAUACCGUAAAAUAAAGAAGAGUUACCUUCAUUAUCAAUGAGGCCUGAUUUUCUUUAUCAUUAUUAUUAUUAUUAUUAUUAUUAUUAUUAUUAUUAUUAUUAUUAUUAUUAUUAUUAUUAUUAUUAUUGUUGUUGUUGUUGUUAACACAAUUUUAUCUCGCUCCACAUGGACAACUUCGCCUCCAACAAGACUAGAACAUUUGUCAUCUGUGUUCUACAUCGCCCUGCUGGCCUGGCAGAAGCACCACUUACUACCAACUCUUAACCAAAUAUCAGCGAACCAGCAAACAUUUAGAGAUAGAGGGAGACAUGUGCGCAUGUCUUGCAGAGAUGGCUGUAAGAGAGUUGACGGGGAAGGUCGACGAAGGUGCUGGAGAAACAAGGAGGUCCAGUGUCAGUAUUUGAACGACAGUGUCAAUCAUCUCUCCACUGGAUCUUUUCCUUUUAUUUAAUUAUAUGCUUUUAUUUUACUUCCCCAUUUUACUCUCCACGCCUUUUCUUCACUGGUAAAUAUAAGGAAUGACGCAAUAUUUUCGUACUAGCUAUGUGAAUCUCUCUCUCUCUCUCUCUCUCUCUGUGUGUGUGUGUGUGUGUUACGAGUGGAUAACUUAUGAAAGACAUACCAUACAUAGUUCAUAUUUUUAUGUAACAUCUUUAUAAUUAUGCUCUUUAGUACUUGAUUCUAACGACCAGUUAACUUACCUGCUGCCAGCACUUUCGGGACACUAUAGGCUGUGGCACCACUGCUCUGCAUGGUCCCAUCAAAUCCCCCAACAAGAACAACACCAUGGAGCGUGGGCGAUUGGUUUCUGCUUUCUGAAUUGGAUGGGGCUGUUGGUUGCAGACAGACCCCUGGAGCCAGACAUCUUCAGCAGUUGUUGCAUCUGCCAGACUUUCUUCAAGUGGAUACAAUCUGGCAAGUCGUAGUGCCUGAGGAAUGUGUCCACUACCCUUACUAACCCAUCCUGUCCCUUACGUAGGCUGGUGAUUUUACGAAGUUUCCACCUUGACCACAGCCUGUCAUCAUGGAUGAGGACAAUGUCCCCAGCUUGUGGCCAUAUUGUGCCUUCUUUGGCAACUAUGCAUCUAUGGGACUCCCUGAAAGAUAAAAGAUAUUCUGAAACCCAUCUUUUUCACAGAUCAUUUAACAAUUUGAUUGAUGCUUCCCUUUAUAUUUUGUGUAGAUCAGAUAAUGAAUAUUGAUUAGAGAAGGAUUUCAGUUCCCUGCCUCUUAAUAACUAUAAAGGGAUUAUGGUAUUAAGUUCAUUGACAUUACUGCUUACAUAAGUUAAGGAUCUAUCAUUUAUAAUGAAUCCUAAGAUGAUAGUGUGCAGUUCUUCAAAUGUGACUAGGGCUCUGCUAUGUACUUUUCUUAAACCAGCUUUUAAUGUUCUGAUUAACUUUUCCUGUAUGGCACCAAACUGGGGGGGUGUAGAAAGAAUGAACUUCCACUCAGUUAAUUGAUGUUAAAUGGUUAUUUACAUAAGAGCUUUGCAUAGGUAAUUUCUUUGAUAUAACUGGCCACAUUAACAUAGGUUGUUGCAUUUUCACUAAAUAUAAUUUGUGGAAAACCUUGUCUACAUUGAAUAUUCUGAAAGCACUUAAGAAGUUAUUACUUGUUAAAUCAGGUACCAAUUCUAGAUGGAUGGCUUUGGUGGUUUUCUUACUCUGUAACCAUUUUAGAGCUAUUUGGCACAGGUGAGGAGAACAAUGUGUGCCUUGGUGACUUGAUUAGCCUUUCCUUACACCUUUAGGGUACCUGUAAAAUCCACUCCUGUGACAUUGAAGGAUUCAUUUAUAUUAGUUCUGAAUUGUGGGAGAGGUGGUGCAUCAACAGAGGAGUAGGGUUCAUCUUCAUAUUUUUGCCAUAUUUUACAUUUUCUCAUCACUAGUUUUACUACUUGCCUCAUUUUAGGGAUCCAUCAUUUUUGUCUCAUAUGCUGCAAUAAAGUUGGUGCUAUAAUAAAGAUUUAAUUAAUGACUUCUUAUUUGCAGCUUGAUUAUGUGGUGAUGGCCAGGUAGCAAAAUAGGAUGUUAGGUUGACUCAGGCAAGUUAGCCACUUGUUGUUGAUUAUAUCAUUAUCCAGGUAUAACCUUAACUGGAGCAUUAUAUUUGAGUGUGAUGAUCUGUCAGUCUUUUUCAAGAACAACGUGUAUUCUUUAGAAAAUUCUUCUCUGUAUUAGUUUAAUUAAAAUUCUUGCUCUGC